rnacentral:rRNA from 1 species
UACAGGGGUGCAACGUUGCUCGGAAUCAUUGGGACGUAAGCGCACGUAGGCGGUUCGUUAUGUCGGAUGUGAAGCCUUGGCUUAACCGAGGAAGUGCAUCCGAAACUGGCGAGCUAGAGUACGAAAGAGGAUCGCGGAAUUCCCGGUGUAGAGGUGAAAUUCGUAGAUAUCGGGAGGAACACCGGUGGCGAAGGCGGCGAUCUGGGUCGAUACUGACGCUGAGGUGCGAAAGCGUGGGAGCAACAGG